rnacentral:rRNA from 1 species
UACGUAGGGUGCGAGCGUUAUCCGGAUUCACUGGGUUUAAAGGGUGCGUAGGUGGAUUAGUAAAUCAGUGGUGAAAUCUCCGGGCUUAACCCGGAAACUGCCAUUGAUACUAUUAGUCUUGAAUACCGUGGAGGUCAGCGGAAUAUGUCAUGUAGCGGUGAAAUGCUUAGAUAUGACAUAGAACACCAAUUGCGAAGGCGGCUGGCUACACGAGCAUUGACACUCAGGCACGAAAGCGUGGGGAUCAAACAGG